rnacentral:rRNA from 1 species
UAAACUAGGGCUAGAUACCCUAUUAUUAAAAUUUAAAUGAAAAUACUAAAAUAGUAUAUAAUUAUUUAUUGAAACUUAAAUAAUUUGGCGGUAUUUUAGUUCAUUUAGAGGAAUCUGUUUAAUAAUUGAUAGUCCACGAAUAAAUUUACUUAAUUAAUAUAUUUUGUAUAUCGUUGUUAAAAAAAUAUUUUUUAAUAAAAAUAAUAUUUUAAAAUUUUAAAAAUAAAUUAAUUCAGAUCAAGAUGCAGAUUAUAAUUAAGAAUAUAAUGGAUUACAAUAAGAAAUGAUUAUAUGAAUAAUAUUUUUUAAUAAUUAUUUGAAGGUGGAUUUAAAUGUAAUUUUAUUUAGUGAAUGUGCUCUUCUCUGUGCGGA